UGGGGAAUAUUGGACAAUGGGCGAAAGCCUGAUCCAGCCAUGCCGCGUGUGUGAAGAAGGCCUUUUGGUUGUAAAGCACUUUAAGUGGGGAGGAAAAGCUUAUGGUUAAUACCCAUAAGCCCUGACGUUACCCACAGAAUAAGCACCGGCUAACUCUGUGCCAGCAGCCGCGGUAAUACAGAGGGUGCAAGCGUUAAUCGGAAUUACUGGGCGUAAAGCGCGCGUAGGUGGUUAUUUAAGUCAGAUGUGAAAGCCCCGGGCUUAACCUGGGAACUGCAUCUGAUACUGGAUAACUAGAGUAGGUGAGAGGGGAGUAGAAUUCCAGGUGUAGCGGUGAAAUGCGUAGAGAUCUGGAGGAAUACCGAUGGCGAAGGCAGCUCCCCGGCAUCAUACUGACACUGAGGUGCGAAAGCGUGGGUAGCAAACAGGAUUAGAUACCCUGGUAGUCCACGCCGUAAACGAUGUCUACCAGUCGUUGGGUCUUUUAAAGACUUAGUGACGCAGUUAACGCAAUAAGUAGACCGCCUGGGGAGUACGGCCGCAAGGUUA
rnacentral:rRNA from 1 species